CCUACGGGUGGCAGCAGUCGAGAAUCAUUCACAAUGGGGGAAACCCUGAUGGUGCGACGCCGCGUGGGGGAAUGAAGGUCUUCGGAUUGUAAACCCCUGUCAUGUGGGAGCAAAUUAAAAAGAUAGUACCACAAGAGGAAGAGACGGCUAACUCUGUACCAGCAGCCGCGGUAAUACAGAGGUCUCAAGCGUUGUUCGGAAUCACUGGGCGUAAAGCGUGCGUAGGCUGUUUCGUAAGUCGUGUGUGAAAGGCGCGGGCUCAACCCGCGGACGGCACAUGAUACUGCGAGACUAGAGUAAGGGAGGGGGAACCGGAAUUCUCGGUGUAGCAGUGAAAUGCGUAGAUAUCGAGAGGAACACUCGUGGCGAAGGCGGGUUCCUGGACAUUAACUGACGCUGAGGCACGAAGGCCAGGGGAGCGAAAGGGAUUAGAUACCCGUGUAGUC
rnacentral:rRNA from 1 species